UGGGGAAUAUUGGACAAUGGGCGAAAGCCUGAUCCAGCCAUGCCGCGUGUGUGAAGAACGUCUUCGGAUUGUAACGCACUUUAAGUUGGGAGGAAGGGCAUUAACCUAAUACGUUAGUGUUUUGACGUUACCGACAGAAUAAGCACCGGCUAACUCUGUGCCAGCAGCCGCGGUAAUACAGAGGGUGCAAGCGUUAAUCGGAAUUACUGGGCGUAAAGCGCGCGUAGGUGGUUUGUUAAGUUGGAUGUGAAAUCCCCGGGCUCAACCUGGGAACUGCAUUCAAAACUGACUGACUAGAGUAUGGUAGAGGGUGGUGGAAUUUCCUGUGUAGCGGUGAAAUGCGUAGAUAUAGGAAGGAACACCAGUGGCGAAGGCGACCACCUGGACUAAUACUGACACUGAGGUGCGAAAGCGUGGGGAGCAAACA
rnacentral:rRNA from 1 species